UAAACAAUAUAACUAACUUUGAUGAGAUGA
rnacentral:piRNA from 1 species